UAGGAGGUAGUAUAAUUGGAAGUACACAAGGUUUUGGGCCUUGUGGUACGGGUUCGGCGCUCGUUCUUCUAA
rnacentral:tRNA from 1 species